GAGGACAUGACACAAAACCGAGCGCAAUGGCGUUCUAGGAUUCAUAUAGCCGACCCCACUUAGUGGGAAAAGGCUUUGUUGUUGUUGUUGUUGUUGUUGUUGUUGUUGUGAUCUUAACAUUACACCCACUUCAUUAGAUCGCUGUGAUGCGCAACCAGAUUUUGAGAACAACCAAUUUUUAGAAGAUGGUUUAGAUCGAUGUUGGUGGAAAAUGGAGGCUCUUUCUUUGAUGUUUUCAGAGCAAAUAAUCCUGAUAGGUAAAGCAUACACAUGCUGGUCACAAAGUACAGGUGCUGAAGAGUUUAAUUAUGGCUCUAGAAUCGAUCACAUUCUUUGUGCAGGGGCAUGCUUACACCAAGAGCAGGACUUGCAAAGUCAUAAUUUUGUAACAUGCCAUGUCAAGGAGUUUGACAUAUUGACACAAUUUAAAUGGUGGAAAACUAGGGAAUUCACUAAGGUGGAAGGGAGGGCAGAACAUGAAACUCGAAGGCUCCGAUCAUGCGCCAGUUUAGACAAGUUUACUGGAAAUUCUUAGUGUUUCCCAGCAUAGUACCCCAUCUUUGUCUGUUAGAUACAUUCCAAUGGUUGGUGGCCUCCAACAAACCCAUGUAUAUUUGCUAAUGAAAAGACAAGCUGCGGAACAAGUUUAUCCGGACAGAAAUAUGAUUCAAGAGAGUUUCGGUGAGGGAGAAAAAUGUUCGCCUGACCAAUGUUGCACACCCGGUGCACCCAGCAGCAACUCCUGUUCUUUGAGCCAAAACUCCCAAGUGAUCAGUUCAAAAACAAAUGAGCAUUCAAGCGCUUUUGCUAUUGAGGCUACUUGUAACACCUUGGUAACUUUAGGUGGUGAACGUACAAAAACAAUGUGCGGCAGUGAAGCUAGGAAAAAAUCAAAAAGGAGUUCCCAACUCUCUUUGAGGUCAUUUUUUCAGAAAAGUUCUAUCAGUAGCAACAGUGUGAGCAUUAAUACUGAUAUUUCUACUAGUCAGAGAAAUGUUCCAGAUUCUAAUCAUCUCUCAAAUGAAACUCCAAUACCAGAAAGUCAAAGCCGCAGUCCCAAGCAGUAUGAACUGAACUCUAGUGUAUCAAAUCAAGAUCAGGAUGAAGUAGAUGCCUGCUCCUUGGACAAAGAGAAUAAUAAUUUUGCGUUAUUGGAGUGGCAAAGGUUACAGCAAGUCAUGCAGAAUAGCAUACCAGUUUGCAAGCACCAUAGUGAACCUUGUGUUGCUCGGGUUGUGAGCAAGCGAGUUCCUAAUUUUGGACGCAGAUUCUAUGUCUGUGCGCGUGCUGAGGUAUGUUUUUGUUAACUUUAAUACUGCUGGAAAUUUGUUAAAGUUUCUAAUAUACGAUAUUGGAGUAAGAGUAAAACAGAAAGAAAAUGAAAUAAUACUCUUGCAUGUAAAUAAGGAAAGCGAAGUUUAAGCAUGAUUCAGUAUUGUGAUGUCUGAUGAAAUUAUGAAUUCAAGUAUAUGACAGUGAAGUGUGGACGAAGGACAAGUAUCUAUAAAUGAAUUGCUCCUUUCUUUGAUUCUUUCCAUUAUUUUGUACAUCUCAGAUUCAAUUGAUUUUAUAAAAGCAGAAAACAUCUGAUAAAUUUUUUGUAGUUCCAUCCAUCUUGUAACUAGUUUCACUUCGGUACUUAGAGCCUAGAACUUGGGAUGAACAAGUCCUCCGGCUGCGCAGUCUGUUUUACCCCAUUUUGCCAUUAAAGAAUUUGGGCAUCUGACAAUUGCAAGCUUUAUACAGAACUACAGAUAUUGUGGAGUUUAUAUGUACUCGAGCUAAGUUUGCUGUUGACUACUCGGACCUGCAUCUAAUCCAGAAGCAAAUUGUAGGUAUUUCUAAUGGGCUUCUUUGAAACCUCGAGAGAAAUGACGGUGGUGAUCAGUGAUGCCAGUGAAUUGAUCGCCUUGCUACACGAAAGAAAUAUGUUUCCAGAAUAUCAGGAUCUUUAGUUUUAGGCGUACGUGACGUGUGCCGUCCAUAUAUAUAUAUAUGAGAAGUUAAGGUGAAGAAGGUAGCUAGCAUCUUUCGAAAGAGAAAUUAUACGUUUCCUCGGUAUGUCAUUUAUCAACUCGUUUAAGAAGAGUCAUACAGCACGCACCCAGAAGAAAAAAAUGUUCCAUGUAUUAAUUAAUGUAUUAUUCUUUCUUAUUCGUGGAUAACUUCCACAUAAAAAUACAAUCUUUGAUGUCACGAUCUUGUGUUUUUAUAAUCAAUUGGGAGCCGAAAUUUGAGUUUGAUGUUUCUUCCAACAUUUAGAAGAAAAGUAUCACUAGCUAGUAUUAAAUGUCCUAUCAACGUCGCGGACGAAUGGUCGCAACCGAUAACCCAACUAUUCAGUAAAAAAAUUGAAAGGUUAGUAAACUUCCUCCAUACAAAAUUGUUUGGGAUGGCAAAUCAACAAAGGCCAGCGAUCGUUAUCGAUCACAAAUUAUGGUAAAAGACAACCUUAGAAAUAAUAAUACGAUAAUGUCAAAACAC